AUGUCUACCCCAGAAAAGUGGCAAACUACCAGACCCACCAUCCGAGAAAGAACAAAGUUUCUGCUGAACAAUGAUCGGUUCAGUGAUGUGAAGUUUGUGGUUCGCGACUCUAACAGCGAAAGCGAAAGUGGAAGUAAGAAAGUGAUUCCAGCUCACAAAUUUGUGCUGUCGAUUGGUAGUCCGAAGUUUGAAGCCAUGUUUUACGUUGGGUUAGCGCAGACCCGGGAUUCUAUUGAGUUAACUGACUGUGACUACGAGAGUCUGUUGGAGCUGUUUCGCUACUUGUACAGCGAUGAGGUAAACAUAAACGCAUCAAAUAUAACGAAAGUGUUGUGUUUGGCGAAGAAAUAUGAAGUGCCCUCUCUAGUUGAUAAAUGCAUCCAAUAUUUGCGAGACGUGCUAAGUUCAUCUAACGUUUUCGAAAUUCUACCGACGGCAGAAAAGUUGGAAAAAAAAGAAUUGAUCGAUGAAUGCUGGGAAGUAAUCGAUAAUCAGUCGGAAGCAGCGAUGAAGUCGGAUGCAUUUACGACAAUUAAGCACUCGCUACUUGAAGCAGUGGUCUCAAGAGACACGCUGACCAUAAACGAGGUCGGGCUGUUUAAAGCUGUAAACCUGUGGGCGACAAAAAAGUGCGAGGAUCAAGGUUUAACAGCAAAUGGUGAAGAGAAAAGAAGAAUUCUUGGAGACAAAGUUGUCAAGGCAAUUCGCUUUCCAGUUAUGAAACGACACGAAUUUGCUUCCGUAGUCGCAGAUGCAAAAAUUCUUACUCCAGAAGAAGUGAUCAACUUUUUCAAGUUUUUCAGUUCAGCAGCCGCCGCCCCAAAGGGAUUUUUAAACAAGAAACGAUCUGGUUUAGGGAAGUCCUAUAAACUUCGUAAGCCCCGGUCAUAAAUUAGAGUGGGGGGGGGGGGGCGAGGGCUGAUACAAACAUGAGGAGGGCCAUAGUUUUUCAUGCAAGCACAAAAGAGAGGGUCAAACAAUUUGGUGCAUGUCAUUAAGAGGGGGUGGGGGCAUUUUUUCCUAUGCAAAGUUGUUGGAGUCAAUCUAGCAUUCCUCUUUAGUUACAGUCAUUCACAAGAUCAGGAAGAAACGCAACUCGUUUUUAUCUCUGUUAGUUCCAGGUCAGUGUCAUACUGCAAUCCAAGUAGCCUUAGUGUGGGAGGAGGUGUGGGAGGUCAUUGAUUAUGCAAACGAUGUUAUGGGGUCAACAUUUUUUCUGCAUCUGGAAUGGGGAGGGUCUCACCAAAACUGGUAGGCCGAAAUAAAAAUUCACCAGUCCCCCUCCCCCCUCUAAUUUAUGAUCGGUCCCUUAGUGAACAACUUCUAAAUGUUCAUUACUGGAGUAUUAAAAACAUUACAAAUAUGGCGAGCACUUUUCGCUACUAGUGGGCCAUAACAUAUAGCCUAGUAGUAGCUUAACCAAUCAGAACGCAGCAUUGAUAAUAGACUACUAGUUGGAUUUUGCUAAGUAUGUAUACUUGUUGAGUUUAACAGUUUCAUUGGGGUUAACAAUUUGUCUUAAAUGGACAAAAAUGCCCCUAAGAAAAGGUAGUACUUUGGUUUUCUUUACAGUUAGGAUUUAACAUUUCCCAUUACAACUGACACAUUAACUUUGUUGUUUUUCAAAGGCUCUGUAAUUAAACUUCAAAGGACCUGAGCAGCAGUUAAUUUUAAACACAAAUGUGAAAAAGCAAAGCUGAUCGACAUGUGAAAAGAAUAAUAAUUUCUUAUAAUAAUAAUUAUUGCUAUGCAAUGAGUUUGAUUCUAGAACAACACCUUCAAGCUUGAUACUGUUUUGUGUACCACAAUGAACUAAAGUUACUUCUCCUAGUUUGGUAAUGUGCCACAAAAUUAAGGUCAUGAUAACCUAGGUAAUUUUUCUUGAUUUUUAAAAGAAAUGGAAAUCGAUGCUAUCCAAAUCCAAAUUACUAAGAGACUGUGCAAUAAUUAUCAGGAGUGGGGAAGGGGCUGAAAAACGAUUGUCACACAAAGAAAUAUAAUGUGGUGGCCCCAUACCAAGGAAGGUAACUUUAGCUCUGGCGCCUGUCCUGGUCUCUCAAAAAUUAUUAGCAACCCUGCCCCUUCCUAGGGAGGGACACUUUCUGUUAGUGACUUCUUUUAAUUGAGUCUUUUAAUGCUUUUAAUGCUGUAUUAAUUACAAAAAAGGUUAAAAUGGUGAAUUGCUAAUGGCUUUGGUACUUAUUGUUGUUAGUUCUUUGUUACAUUUUCAAUGGCAUGCUAGCUCAUAUUUUAUUGAUAUUAAAUCAGUCCCACAAAUAAAUGAGUAUCACUGUUGGUGUGACAUAAGUGGUAAUUGAAUCUUAGAGUCAGCUUGCUCACAAAAAGUUAGAUAGAAAUCCCUUGCUUUUUAUGGAGAAAUACAUGUCACCCCCUCCCUUAGAAUAUAAGUUUACAUGGUGCCCCACCCCUCAUUUUUCAUCCCCCCCUCCUGAUAAUUAUUGCUAUGCUUGCACACACUUGUGUGAGUCCCACGUGCUCCGUUGACCAUCUUCAGUAAUUACCUCAAGGCCACAUGUUUUAACCGUUCCUAUGAAACAGACUGACCAACUGAAAGAUAUCAGUGUGGUGUGAACAGACAGCGAAAAAUCUAUGUCGAAAUCGGUGCAUUAAAAUCACUGCAAUUCCAACCUGAUUUCUGUGGUACCUAGGUUCCCAUGUGUCACGUUUAUUGUCAAUUAAGUUGAUGUGUCUAGAA